rnacentral:rRNA from 1 species
UGGGGAAUAUUGCACAAUGGGCGAAAGCCUGAUCCAGCCAUGCCGCGUGUGUGAAGAAGGUCUUCGGAUUGUAAAGCACUUUAAGUUGGGAGGAAGGGCAUUAACCUAAUACGUUAGUGUUUUGACGUUACCGACAGAAUAAGCACCGGCUAACUCUGUGCCAGCAGCCGCGGUAAUACAGAGGGUGCAAGUGUUAAUCGGAAUUACUGGGCGUAAAGCGCGCGUAGGUGGUUUGUUAAGUUGGAUGUGAAAUCCCCGGGCUCAACCUGGGAACUGCAUUCAAAACUGACUGACUAGAGUAUGGUAGAGGGUGGUGGAAUUUCCUGUGUAGCGGUGAAAUGCGUAGAUAUAGGAAGGAACACCAGUGGCGAAGGCGACCACCUGGACUAAUACUGACACUGAGGUGCGAAAGCGUGGGGAGCAAACA